rnacentral:tRNA from 1 species
ACUUAAAUAGCUUUUAUAUUAUUGCGUUUUGUUGAAGGUGUUAAGGUGUUAAAAAUAUCUUUAAGUU